AAAAAAUAAGAAUAAAUAAAUAUAAAAGUUUAAUGUUCUGCUGCCUGCUAGAUCCUUCUGUCGCGCGCCAUCCACCGUCAUCCUACGUCCACCACUCUACUCCGGCCUCCAACAGUGGCCUUCACUAAAUAGGGGAUCAUUCAAUGGCUUUGAGAAAGAUGUUCUUGAACGAUCUUCUUUUAUACAAAAAAUUGGGAGUGUAUUGCUUUGGCAACUGUGGCAGAUUCUACGCCACCAAAGUGGAUUUGAGGAAGCUCAGACCCAUGAUUCUCAAGAGAAUUGAGAAACGUUCCCACCUUUACCCUAUUCGUGCCAUGGUUCCUGUUGCCAAUGAGGUCUUACUCGCCAGAAAUUUUCUUAUCAAUGGUGUUUCCACUCUCCUUAAAUCAUUUCCUGUCAUGGCUUGCAAAUUUUGUCCCGAGAUAUAUAUUGGUGAGCAGGGGCAUUUAAUUCCGACUUGCUGGGGUUACAAGCGUCGUGCCAAGAACCGGGUUCAUGAAUGGGUCAAAGGUGGUUUGAAUGAUAUAAUUGUUCCUGUUGAGACAUUUCACCUGAAAAACAUGUUCCAAAGUGUUAUUAGGCAUGACCAAAGGUUUGACUUUGAUCGCAUCCCUGCUGUUGUUGAGCUAUGCUGGCAAGCAGGGGCUGAUCCCCAUGAUGAAAACCUUAAUUCAAGUAGUUGGAACAUGGAGACUGCUAAUGCCAAUGCUGAUGGUACUGAGUCUUUGUCACCAAAUGAUCUUGCCUUAAUAGCAAAUAAAACUUUCAAAGCUUGGGAGACUCUCAGGUCUGGGGUAAAAAAGUUGGUUUUGGCAUAUCCGGUAAAAGUUUGUAAAUAUUGUUCAGAGGUUCAUGUUGGGCCCUCUGGCCAUCAAGCUAGGCUCUGUGGAGUGUUCAAGUAUGAGAGUUUUAAAGGAGGUCAUUUUUGGAUGAAAGCUAAUGUGGAUAAUUUAGUGCCUCCAAAGAUUGUAUGGAGACGAAGGCCUCAAGAUCCUCUUGUACUUGUGAGUGAAGGGAGAGAUUUCUAUGGACGUGUUCCAGCUGUGCUGGAUUUGUGCACAAAAGCUGGUGCCAUUGUGCCUGCAAAGUAUAAUUAUAUGAUGAAAGUGCAAGGUUUGUCUGGUCCCGUCAAUAAAAUGAUUUGGCAGGAGCAAUAGAGGAUCAAAAUUUUGAAAGCAGCAACAAAUUGAGUCGUAAAUCGCAAUCAGUCACUCAAUCAUUUGCGGAAGAAAUUUGACAUUACUUUCAUAUGCAAUUUUCUGCAUAAUUUGAGGUUUUGUCUUGGAUAUCUGAUUAUGGAUCUUUCUGCCUGUUCUUCUGUUGGUUACAGUAAUAAAUUUUGUUCUCAUAUCUCCCAAAAUAUUUAUGCAGAGCAAAAUAAAAUCUAUACAUUCAUGUGUGGCUGGACUUAAUGGACCUGCUCUUCAGACUUGACGAAGAGACGGUCUCCAUUUUCAACUCCAUGCCACCUAAGACUACAACUAUCACGCAUGAUCCUCUGCCUGUGUAUAAACAAAUAGUCAUCAAUUGGCAGAAUUUUUCUGCUUAGCAACAACUGCUUCAAGUCAUUGACAGUGUUUGCAUCUCUCAUCUCCAACGGAAUGGUGGCUCCAUUAAGCAAACUAGAGGAGGUUUGUACCACCAAGCUCACCUUCCUAGAUGGUGGUUCUUCUCUUGACCGAUUCAUGUUCUUGAGAAAAUAUCAGCACCAGAGUAAGGCGAGAAGAUCUUGUGUGUUCAACCACAUAUAUGCCAUAGAAUCAUUUCACCAAUGUUAUAUGUAAUGUAAUAUGUACAUUGAAUUUUUAUACACACUGCAUAUGGUGUUGAAUAUGUGAAAGAAAAAAAAAAAAACUUGAGUUUAA